CAGCAGCCGCGGUAAUACGGAGGAUCCGAGCGUUAUCCGGAAUUAUUGGGUUUAAAGGGUGCGUAGGCGGAUAGAUAAGUCAGUGGUGAAAGACGGUGGCUCAACCAUCGCAGUGCCGUUGAUACUGUUUAUCUUGAAUAUGGAUGAGGUAGGCGGAAUGUGGCAAGUAGCGGUGAAAUGCAUAGAUAUGCCACAGAACACCGAUUGCGAAGGCAGCUUACCAAGGCAAAAUUGACGCUGAGGCACGAAAGCGUGGGGAUCGAACAGGAUUAGAUACCCCAGUAGUCCCUGUCUCUUAUAC
rnacentral:rRNA from 1 species